UUUCCGUAGGUGAACCUGCGGUAGGAUCAUUGUCGAAACCUGCCCAGCAGAAAGACCCGCGAAC
rnacentral:rRNA from 1 species